rnacentral:rRNA from 1 species
UACGUAGGGUGCAAGCGUUGUCCGGAUUUAUUUGGCGUAAAGAGCUCGUAGGCGGUUUGUCGCGUCGGAUGUGAAAACCCAGGGCUCAACCCUGGGCCUGCAUUCGAUACGGGCAAACUAGAGUAUGGCAGGGGAGACUGGAAUUCCUGGUGUAGCGGUGAAAUGCGCAGAUAUCAGGAGGAACACCGGUGGCGAAGGCGGGUCUCUGGGCCAAAACUGACGCUGAGGAGCGAAAGCGUGGGGAGCGAACAGG